rnacentral:rRNA from 1 species
ACGUAGGGGGCGAGCGUUGUCCGGAAUUACUGGGCGUAAAGGGUGCGUAGGCGGUCGUUUAAGUCCUGUGUGAAAGGCCCCGGCUUAACCGGGGAGAGCCAUGGGAAACUGGGCGACUUGAGUGUCGGAGAGGGUUGCGGAAUUCCCGGUGUAGCGGUGAAAUGCGUAGAGAUCGGGAGGAACACCAGUGGCGAAGGCGGCAACCUGGACGAUGACUGACGCUGAGGCGCGAAAGCCAGGGGAGCAAACGGGA